AGUGGCGGACGGGUGAGUAACGCGUGAGAAUCUGCCUUGGGGUCGGGGACAACCACUGGAAACGGUGGCUAAUACCGGAUAAGCCGAUUGGUGAAAGAUUUAUUGCCCGAAGAGGAGCUCGCGUCUGAUUAGCUAGUUGGUGAGGUAAGAGCUCACCAAGGCAGCGAUCAGUAGCUGGUCUGAGAGGACGAUCAGCCACACUGGGACUGAGACACGGCCCAGACUCCUACGGGAGGCAGCAGUGGGGGAUUUUCCGCAAUGGGCGAAAGCCUGACGGAGCAAGACCGCGUGAGGGAGGAAGGCUCUUGGGUUGUAAACCUCUUUUCUCAGGGAAGAAGCUCUGACGGUACCUGAGGAAUCAGCCUCGGCUAACUCCGUGCCAGCAGCCGCGGUAAUACGGAGGAGGCAAGCGUUAUCCGGAAUUAUUGGGCGUAAAGCGUCCGCAGGUGGCGAUUCAAGUCUGCUGUCAAAGCACGGGGCUUAACUCCGUAAAGGCAGUGGAAACUGAAUAGCUAGAGUGCCGUAGGGGUAGAGGGAAUUCCCGGUGUAGCGGUGAAAUGCGUAGAGAUCGGGAAGAACAUCGGUGGCGAAAGCGCUCUACUGGACGGCAACUGACACUCAGGGACGAAAGCUAGGGGAGCGAAUGGGAUUAGAUACCCC
rnacentral:rRNA from 1 species